AUCAACAAAGGCAAUUUAUUAAGAUUCUUAAUAUUCAAAGUCAACGUCUAUUUAAUUCCUGUAGCAUUUUGGGUAUAGGGUAACUUAAAGAAAAGGAUAAUUUACAAAAUAAUCCCUGCUUUUCUAAAAUGUAAUAAAUUAAUCCCUAAGUUUUUUUAUUAAUAGUUUAAUCCUUUUGCUAACUUUAACUCUAAUUUGCUAUUAGCGUUACUAGAUUGAAACAG
rnacentral:misc_RNA from 1 species